rnacentral:rRNA from 1 species
UACGAAGGGGGCUAGCGUUGCUCGGAAUCACUGGGCGUAAAGGGUGCGUAGGCGGGUCUUUAAGUCAGGGGUGAAAUCCUGGAGCUCAACUCCAGAACUGCCUUUGAUACUGAGGAUCUUGAGUACGGGAGAGGUGAGUGGAACUGCGAGUGUAGAGGUGAAAUUCGUAGAUAUUCGCAAGAACACCAGUGGCGAAGGCGGCUCACUGGCCCGUAACUGACGCUGAGGAGCGAAAGCCAGGGGAGCAAACGGG